UAAACCCCUAAAUCUCUGCCACCGUAAAUCUACCAAUUUCGUCGUCUCAGCUCACCUCCGGAAAGUUCCGAUGACGAAGAAGAGCAAAGAAGCUAACGAAGCUAAGACGUUAGAAACCAAAAGCAAAAGCGUUUCUGUGAAAUCAGUUGAAAAGGAAGUGAAAACCUUAAAGGAUGAAGACCACCUGAUGCAAAGACUCUGGAACUGAUUCUGAUUACGGAUCUUUGAAUUCCGGAUGGUUUCGAAUCAGAAGAUGAUCUAACACAGGGGGAGUAACAGAAGACGGAGGAGUUGGUGAAGCAUCCGAAGACGAGCUGCAUGAUCAUGAGGAGGGCUCAAUUGAUAAUGAGGAUGAUGAUGGAAGUGAACAAAUAGAUAGUGACAAUAACGAGGAAGAUGGGAGUGAUGAAGGUUCUGAUCGAGAUGAAGCGGUUGAAGAUGAGGUAGGUUUCUCCUAGAAUUACAACAGUUGGGGAUGUUCCCUUGGAGUGGUAUAAAGAUGAGAAACAUAUUGGUUAUGACAUCACUAAGAAGAUCUUUACUAAAAAAGAAAAACAAGACAGACGUGACUCUUUUCUUGCAACUAUGGUUGGCUCUACGAAUUGGCGCAAAAUUAUUGAUGACUAUAAUGACGAGGAAGUGGAGCUGACUAAAAAGAAGAGCAAGAUGGUUCGUAGAUUGCUCGAAGGGGAAGAAGCUCCACAUGCUGACUUUGAUCCAUAUGCGGAUUUUGUUGACUGGUUCAAAUGGACUGAUGCAAUACAUCCACUCUCAAGUGCACCAGAACCCAAGUGAAGGUUCAUCCACUCUCAAGUGCAUCCGAUUCAUGUAUUACCCAUAUCAAGCUUUUCUUUUAUUAGUUAUUAAAUUAAUUAAAAUGCAUUAACAAUUUUUUUUUUUUUUUUUGUAAUAUGCCACAUGAUAGUAGUUUUAAUUAAACUCCUAAUAACAUUGCUCAAAUAAGAUUAUGAAAUUUAGGUU